AUCCAGGUUACGAGUCCCGAUUAGGACGAAAUGCGCGUCCUGGAU
rnacentral:hammerhead_ribozyme from 1 species